AUUGAACGCUGGCGGCAGGCCUAACACAUGCAAGUCGAACGCGCGGCGGACUGGUGAGUAAUUUCUUGGAAACUGCCUGAUGGAGGGGGCUCACUACUGGAAACGUUAUCUAAUACCGCCUACUAUCUGAUGAGCCCAUAUGGGAUUGGCUAGUAGGUGGGGUAAAGGCUCACCUAGGCGACGAUCCCUAGCUGGUCUGAGAGGAUGACCAGCCACACUGGGACUGAGACACGGUCCAGACUCCUACGGGAGGCAGCAGUGGGGAAUAUUGCACAAUGGGCGAAAGCCUGAUGCAGCCAUGCCGCGUGUAUGAAGAAGGCCUUCGGGUUGUAAAGUACUUUCAGCGGGGAGGCGUUACCCGCAGAAGAAGCACCGGCUAACUCCGUGCCAGCAGCCGCGGUAAUAC
rnacentral:rRNA from 1 species